rnacentral:rRNA from 1 species
GACGAACGCUGGCGGCGUGCUUAACACAUGCCAGUCGAACGGAAAGGCCCUGCUUUUGUGGGUGGCUCGAGUGGCGAACGGGUGAGUAACACGUGAGUAACCUGCCCUUGACUUUGGGAUAACUUCAGGAAACUGGGGCUAAUACCGGAUAGGAGCUCCUGCUGCACGGAGGGGGUUGGACAGUUUCGGCGGUUGGGGAUGGACUCGCGGCUUAUCAGCUUGAUGGUGGGGUAGUGGCUUACCAAGGCUUUGGCGGGUAGCCCGCCUGAGAGGUUGACCGGGGCCAUGGGGACUGCGGGAGGGAGCAGAAGGCAACGGGGGGCAGCAGGCGGGAACAUGGCCCAAUGGGGCCAAGCGUGAGGCGGCAACGCUGGGUGUGUGAUCCCGGCUUGCGAGUGAAAAAAAGGUUUCGCCUGUGACGAAGCGUGCGUGACGGUAACGGAUAAAGAAGCACCGGCUAACUACGUG